rnacentral:tRNA from 1 species
GCGAGGAUGGCGGAAUUGGUAGACGCACUAGCUUGAGGGGCUAGCGCCCGCAAGGGUGUGGGGGUUCGAAUCCCCCUCCUCGCA